UAGGGAAUCUUCCGCAAUGGACGCAAGUCUGACGGAGCAACGCCGCGUGAGUGAAGAAGGAUUUCGGUUCGUAAAACUCUGUUGUUAGAGAAGAACAGCGCAUAGAGUAACUGUUAUGCGUGUGACGGUAUCUAACCAGAAAGCCACGGCUAACUACGUGCCAGCAGCCGCGGUAAUACGUAGGUGGCAAGCGUUGUCCGGAUUUAUUGGGCGUAAAGCGAGCGCAGGCGGUCAAUUAAGUCUGAUGUGAAAGCCCCCGGCUCAACCGGGGAGGGUCAUUGGAAACUGGUCGACUUGAGUGCAGAAGAGGAGAGUGGAAUUCCAAGUGUAGCGGUGAAAUGCGUGGAUAUAUGGAAGAACACGAGUGGGGAAGGCGACUCUGUGGUAUGUAACUGACGAUGAGGCUCGAAAGCGUGGGUAGCAAACAGG
rnacentral:rRNA from 1 species